AGUUCGACCGGAUCCAGCGCCCGCGUCACCAUCAGAUAGUUGCGGAUGAGGAUCUCGUGGCGGUUCUC
rnacentral:sRNA from 1 species